CAGCCCUGAUGUCCCUCGGUGCUUUUCACUUCCCUCUGCAUGGAAACAUUAGUGGUUUGGGAUGGUGUGUGGUGCUGCCUGCUUUCUUCCUUGGCAACUGAUUGCUGCUCUUAAGCAGUGCACCAGAGCUGAUGCAUUGAUAUCAACAUGCACCAAGGAGCAGAUUUAUGCCACAGAACAUUUCCCAGGCAGCAGUGGCAUAGUGGCUGGAGGAGCACAGAUGAAUGAAAAAAGCUACACUGCACUACAAAGAUCUGAGCCUACCAUCACAAUAAUACUUGCUUUCACUGAAGACAUUCCACAAUACAUCCAGAGCAGGUGCAGACACAAUGUGAGUGAGGAGGAAAAGAAACAAAGCGUCACUAUCCUGGGUUUGGCUCUCCGGUACAGCCAGGACCAGUGUGGAGAUAUUUGGACAUAGAUUACCAAAACAUUUCACCAGAAGACAGAGUGGAGCAUUGCUAGUCUCAGGUUACUGUGGUGUGAUGAAAGCUGUGGGGUUGGCAGGACUGACCACAAGAAAGUCUUAGAGGAGGAUCUCUUUCCACACAACUCGCUGGCUCUUAUUUCCCAUCAGCAAUAUUGUGCCUUUGAACUAAAAUGCAAUAUACAUUGGAAUUUCAAAAUGGGAAGAGCAGUAGGAUCCUACAAGGAUCCCCUCACCCCUUCUAACAAUUCCACCUCUGAUUCUUUAGUAUUGAAAGUAACCCAUGGGACAAAAGGAAAAUGGAGAUCAUAGGUGAUGCUAAUCAUCUGUCUGUGGAUGCUUUACACAAGUAGGGUCAGGUCACACUGGAAAAAUAGCUCUUACAUAUGGCCUCUGUUGAAACAACAAGGUUAAUAACCAUAGAGUGUAUUUCAUGUAUCCCUUAAGCAGAUGAAAUAGACACAAACCCACACACUGUUCAGAUAAAACUUCUGUGCAAAUAUGGCCUCCUGUUCAGAAUGGUAUUUUGAAUAUGAUUAUUUAUUUAGACAAAUAUUUACAGUGCUAGUGAAUUCUGCAAAGAUCCUGUUGAAC
ensembl:lncRNA